rnacentral:rRNA from 1 species
AACGAACGCUGGCGGCAGGCUUAACACAUGCAAGUCGAACGGGUGUAGCAAUACAUCAGUGGCAGACGGGUGAGUAACACGUGGGAACCUUCCUAGGGGUACGGAACAACUCAGGGAAACUUGAGCUAAUACCGUAUACGUCCGUGAGGAGAAAGAUUUAUCGCCCUUAGACGGGCCCGCGUCGGAUUAGCUAGUUGGUGGGGUAACGGCCUACCAAGGCGACGAUCCGUAGCUGAUCUUAGAGGAUGAUCAGCCACACUGGGACUGAAACACGGCCCAGACUCCUACGGGAGGCAGCAGUAGGGAAUCUUGGACAAUGGGCGCAAGCCUGAUCCAGCCAUGCCGCGUGAGUGAAGAAGGUCUUCGGAUUGUAAAGCUCUUUUGCCAGGGACGAUAAUGACGGUACCUGGAGAAUAAGCCCCGGCAAACUUCGUGCCAGCAGCCGCCGUAACAC